GGAGACAGAAGAGGCCAGUGGUUCUGAGGGCAGAGCUGAAGGCUGUUGCUACCCUUGUUCACGCGAGAAACAUCAAGAUGAAGAGCGCAGCCGCGGAUCUGACAUUGCCUCUGUCAGCAGCUACGUGACUGAAUGCAGAGCAGAAAGAAGGCCCAUGUGUAAAAGAUCCCUGGUGUGUUCCCACCUCUUGGAUAUUUGGCCAAUAAAGCUGAAGAGGCAUUUUAGAGUCAGAGACAGCCCUGCCACGCGGCGCACAGGUUUAUAGCUCCGGGCAAAGGUUUCAACAAAUACGAACUCUUCACUCCAAAGUCUCCUCUCUGUGUGCUCCUGACCUAAGAACAGUGCAUUCCUGUCUGUGGGCUCUAAUCCCUGGAGCCUGAGCAGCAGGGCAGGAGGAGUUCCGAAAGGCCUUCUCAUUGCUCUGGAGAUAAGGACCAGCUCAGCAGGCCAGUGCUUCCUGGGACACCCAUGGACGUUCUCUCUCUUUUUUUUCAAACUGAUGAUUGUGUCUGCACUGACACAGGCAGUGUCUGUGAUAACUGAGGAGGUAAAUGGAUGGAUCAUAACCCACAGAUUUGGUGAAAACACAUUUCUUAUCUAGGAUUAGGUCUGAUGAUCUGGAACCUGCAAGGAACAUAAUAAAGUUUCUGAUUACCUAUCUGGGAUCUGGGUACAUGACCUGGGACAUAAAUCAGAAUCUCCCAUAACUGUACUGCCCUGCCCCAUGCCCCACCGCUCCCAUGAAGCUUGGCCACAGGGAAGGUGCUUGAAUUCUUUCUGGCCCUAAAGAUGUCUCUGAGCAGUCUGUUUCUUUAGCAUCUCGCAUAUAAGUAUGGCGGACACAGCAGAGAAAGCUCACCUGGGGCCCGACUACAGUGCCAUCAGACAGACAUCUGGAUUGAAGCCACUGUAAGGACUGAACACAUGCCAGUGAGCAGUUUUGUAUAGAGCAUUCAUUUUGGAGUUCAGCCCCAAUACUGGUGAAACUCAGUAUUAUAUUUCAAUCUGAUUUACCACCAGGUUUUGUGGCGGAGUUCAGCUCUGGCGCUAACCUUUGAAUGAAUCACCUAAUCUGGAAAGGGGCCAAUUGGCCUAUGGAACACAUGAAAAUGAAACACGAUUCCCAGAGUGGGAAAGUAUGUCUGCCUUCCAAUCUCUGAUAAGAGUCCCUGGAAAACUGAAAACCACACAAAUGCUAAUAGUGCCUGGGUUCUUGAGAAGUUCACUGUCUAGUGGG